UACGUAGGGGGCAAGCGUUGUCCGGAAUCAUUGGGCGUAAAGAGCGUGUAGGCGGCCUGAUAAGUCGGCUGUGAAAGUCAAGGGCUCAACCCUUGAAUGCCGGCCGAUACUGUCAGGCUAGAGUCCGGAAGAGGCGAGUGGAAUUCCUGGUGUAGCGGUGAAAUGCGCAGAUAUCAGGAGGAACACCUAUGGCGAAGGCAGCUCGGUGGGACGGUACUGACGCUGAGACGCGAAAGCGUGGGGAGCGAACAGG
rnacentral:rRNA from 1 species